rnacentral:lncRNA from 1 species
CCCAGUGGAACUGCAUCUUGCGAUCCACAGGCGCAAAGUUCACAGGAAGUGAGUUAGGGAUGCGAAAUGACUUGAGCACACGUAUAACUCAUCACUUGAUCCACAGGCUCAGCAGGGCAUUGGGGCCAGUGAAUUGCAUCCGACCGGAGCUGGUCCGCAACCUUCCUGUAAAGUUUGCAGAUGCAGCUUCCCUCCUGUGCUGUGCAUUGUAGCAACUCAGUGUGCUGUUGCUGCCAGGACUGUUGCUACAGAGACCGUACACAAGGGGGUGUUAAAGAAAGAUGCUGCCACGCAGGUGAAUCUCAAUAUCUCUCCUUUAGAGAUGUAAGUACGCAGACGGAAACUUGUGGCGAACUCACGGAUCCAGCUAAAUCAAGUUCCACUGAUCUAGGACGCAUUCCAUCACCAUCAUGGAGGUUUGAACCAGUAAGAGGUUCGACACCAGCGCCAGGUGCAGUAGAACAGAUGGACACUACGGAACUUGCAACUACUGUUGCCGAGAUCGAUACAAGCAACACGCAUCCUUUCACGAGAGCUUUGCAAGGUACAUCGUUGUAGAAUUUGUCAUCAUAGAGUGUAAAUGGCACAAAGAA